rnacentral:rRNA from 1 species
ACACAUGCAAGUCGAACGGCAGCACGGGAGCAAUCCUGGUGGCGAGUGGCGAACGGGUGAGUAAUACAUCGGAACGUGCCCAGUAGUGGGGGAUAACCCGGCGAAAGCCGGACUAAUACCGCAUACGACCUGCGGGUGAAAGCAGGGGAUCGCAAGACCUUGCGCUAUCGGAGCGGCCGAUGUCAGAUUAGCUUGUUGGCGGGGUAAAAGCCCACCAAGGCGACGAUCUGUAGCUGGUCUGAGAGGACGACCAGCCACACUGGGACUGAGACACGGCCCAGACUCCUACGGGAGGCAGCAGUGGGGAAUUUUGGACAAUGGGCGCAAGCCUGAUCCAGCCAUGCCGCGUGCGGGAAGAAGGCCUUCGGGUUGUAAACCGCUUUUGUCAGGGAAGAAACGCUCCGGGUUAAUACCUCGGAGUAAUGACGGUACCUGAAGAAUAAGCACC